rnacentral:rRNA from 1 species
UAGGCGGCCUGUUAAGUCUGGAGUGAAAGUCCUGCUUUUAAGGUGGGAAUUGCUUUGGAUACUGAUGGGCUUGAGUGCAGGAGAGGUUAUCGGAAUUCCCGGUGUAGCGGUGAAAUGCGUAGAGAUCGGGAGGAACACCAGUGGCGAAGGCGGGUAACUGGACUGCAACUGACGCUGANGCGCGAAAGUGUGGGGAGCAAACAGGAUUAGAUACCCUGGUAGUCCACACUGUAAACGAUGAAUGCUAGGUGUAGGANGUAUCGACCCCUUCUGUGCCGGANUUAACACAAUAAGCAUUCCGCCUGGGGAGUACGGCCNCNAGGUUNAAACUCAAAGGAUUUGACGGGGGCCCGCACAACCANC